rnacentral:tRNA from 1 species
CUAUAGCUCAGUCGGUUAGAGCAGAGGACUCAUAAUCCUUUUGUCGCAGGUUCGAGCCCUGCUGGGG